rnacentral:rRNA from 1 species
GACGAACGCUGGCGGCGUGCUUAACACAUGCAAGUCGAACGGAAAGGCCCUGCUUGCUGGGUAGUCGGGUGGCGAACGGGUGAGUAACGAGUGGGUCGUCUGCACUCCACUUCCGGAUAAGCCUGGGCAGCUUGGUCUAGUACCGAAUAGGAGCCAUUUUUAGUGUGUUGGUUGGAAAGUUUUUGCGGUGUAGGAUGGGCUCGCGGCCUAUCCGCUUGUUGGUUGGGUAAUGGCCUACCAAGGCGGCGACGGGUGGCCGGCCUGAGCGGGUGGACGGACACGGUGGGGCUGAGAUACGGCCCAGACUGCUACGGGAGGCAGCCGUGGGGAAUAUGGCAGAAGGGGCGAAGGCGUGAUGCAGAGAGGCCGCGUGGGGGUGUAAGGCCUUCGGGUUGGAAAAUCAGUUCGCUAGGGACUAAGCGUUUUGUGACGGUACCUAGAUAAGAAGCGCCGGCUAACUACGUG